AGUCAGCGGCGGACGGGUGAGUAACACGUGGGCAACCUGCCUGUAAGACUGGGAUAACUUCGGGAAACCGGAGCUAAUACCGGAUAAUGCAUAACCUCUCAUGAGGCUAUGCUGAAAGAUGGUUUCGGCUAUCACUUACAGAUGGGCCCGCGGCGCAUUAGCUAGUUGGUGAGGUAACGGCUCACCAAGGCAACGAUGCGUAGCCGACCUGAGAGGGUGAUCGGCCACACUGGGACUGAGACACGGCCCAGACUCCUACGGGAGGCAGCAGUAGGGAAUCUUCCGCAAUGGACGAAAGUCUGACGGAGCAACGCCGCGUGAGUGAUGAAGGUUUUCGGAUCGUAAAACUCUGUUGUUAGGGAAGAACAAGUGCCGGAGUAACUGCCGGCACCUUGACGGUACCUAACCAGAAAGCCACGGCUAACUACGUGCCAGCAGCCGCGGUAAUACGUAGGUGGCAAGCGUUGUCCGGAAUUAUUGGGCGUAAAGCGCGCGCAGGCGGUCUCUUAAGUCUGAUGUG
rnacentral:rRNA from 1 species